rnacentral:rRNA from 1 species
GAUGAACGCUGGCGGCGUGCCUAAUACAUGCAAGUCGAGCGAACGGACGAGAAGCUUGCUUCUCUGAUGUUAGCGGCGGACGGGUGAGUAACACGUGGAUAACCUACCUAUAAGACUGGGAUAACUUCGGGAAACCGUAGCUAAUACCGGAUAAUAUUUUGAACCGCAUGGUUCAAAAGUGAAAGACGGUCUUGCUGUCACUUAUAGAUGGAUCCGCGCCGCAUUAGCUAGUUGGUAAGGUAACGGCUUACCAAGGCAACGAUGCAUAGCCGACCUGAGAGGGUGGUCGGCCACACUGGAACUGAGACACGGUCCAGACUCCUACGGGAGGCAGCAGUAGGGAAUCUUCCGCAAUGGGCGAAAGCCUGACGGAGCAACGCCGCGUGAGUGAUGAAGGUCUUCGGAUCGUAAAACUCUGUUAUUAGGGAAGAACAUAUGUGUAAGUAACUGUGCACAUCUUGACGGUACCUAAUCAGAAAGCCACGGCUAACUACGUG